AAAUUAUUGCAAAGAUAUGCUCAGAUUUGGGAGUGUCCUACUACCCUAUGGCUUCAGGAUUUUAUCAAUAAAAAGGAUAACUUACACUUGCAUUUUCUUGCUAUAGUGUAGCCCCAAGGUUUUGCUUAAAAUAAUUGAGGGCAAGUGUCUUAUCAAAAUGCAAGGUAAAUGUAACUCAGUUGUUAUUUCUUGAUUACAUAUCAAAACAUGAGAGGUUAUCACUGAACUGCCAGAACCAGCAGUGACUGCAGUUAGCUAAAGAACUAGGAACCAGAGGGGUGUUUUAAGUGAGUUGAAACCAAAGAGGCUCUAAUUCUUAGCCUAAACUAUAAUGUAAAAAGUGAGUUAAGAUUUUCAGAACUCACAGGACUGCUUCAUCCUUAAGCUUCUCUUGCAGAGAUGUUUCAAGAGGGUGUUGUAGGUGAACACAAUUCAUUUGGUUUUUUUAGGAGUCUCAUAUGCUUAUUUGUGGUCACUUCAGUAGCAGCUACAUUUUGGGAAGUAAAGACAGAUUCUCCUUUUAAAAUCCAAAUUGUGCAUUGUGGUUAUAAGAUGUUCUUAGGGUUGCUUGGGGUUAAAACAGAGCAAGAAGCAUCAAACAUUCUUUAUAUAGAUUGUUAUAACCUGGACAGCACCUUGUCUUAUAGUGCAACUGGAAAAUCUAUUCACUUUGCAAACUUUUUUUUUUUGUCUUAGAAAUUUGCUUUGGGAUUGUGGAUCUCAAAUGCAACCUUUAAGUAUUUUCCUUUCCUGGGUUUCUAGACAUUCCUCUCAGCAAAGUACAAAGUAUAAGAGCUUUUUGACCAUUCCCAGGCUAUUUUCCCUGACCUGUCAUCCCUGUUGGCUUUCUUGGUAAGAAGUGGUAUAGCGACUACAGCUGUGGGGACAGUUGGGCUUCAUUUAUAUUUCUCAUAUUCAUAGACCUCAGCUUUCAUUAUCAAUGCUUUCAACAUUUUCAACUACCAAAAGGCAAAAGAAACAUGAUAAGGAGAGGUAUAUUUUCUCACCUGUUCUGUUUUGGAUGAUGGCACCAACCUGAUUUGAGUUUGGAUGUGAAAUGCUGGUUGAAGGAUUAGCUGCUACUGGAAAGGAUGUCAGACAGAAGGGGAGUUUCCAGAGGUUCAGGGAUUAGGCAGAGGAGGCUGAUUGGUGACUGGACUUUAGUUAGUGAACAUGGGUGAUGCAUGCAGCUGCUGAGGUGAGAAACAGUUCACCUGAAAGCUAUAUAGUGUUGUUAACUAAAGCCACCUCAAAAAAAAAAAAAAAAAAAAAAAAGAAAAAAAAGAGAGAUGUCAGGAUGUGUAGAGAAUUUUGAAGAUGUGGCUGAAAAGUAAGUAAGUGUAUCUCCGAUCCCUUAAUCAUGUUCGUUUUUACACCAACAUGAACUAUCUAUUCUGACAGUGAUUUUACAAAUAAAAACUUAUGUCUCUAUUCAUUUUUUUUGUAGGAAAGACAAAAUAAAAAUGAGAUAAAGUGAAAUUGAAUUUUCCCUGAGAGCUGUAAAUCUGUAUGAUAGUGGAAACUUAACACUGCACACUGACAUGUCAGCAUCUCUUUAGCUUUGGGAAUGCAUGGCUGGAAGGAAAAAAAGGCAAGAAGGAAAAACUUCAUUUUUCCUCUCCCCAUGGAAUCCGAGAGUUAUCUCACCUAUGCCCAGAUACCCUCAACUGUCACACUUGUGUUACCAUGGAGACCCAGUUCCUUUGCUGCUGUGAAAGAUGUUGGAAAAGAUGGAAUGAAGUGGGAAAUACAUUGUGUUCUGGAACUUCCUGACAACAGCCAGAAAAAAAAUAUGCAAAGAAUUUAAUAUAAAAAGGUUAAUAGAGGGCAUUUGUGAUACUACCAGGACUGCUUGGCUAUUAAACCUAUUGCUUCUUAUUAAAACCUACAUAUCUCUGAUUAACCAUAAAGGGGAAGGGCAAGUCGAGUAUGUUCACCACCUGUGAAAUGCUGCUGGCAAUCGUAAAGAGAGCAGAAGAUAUUUUUCUCUUGACCUCUGAGGCUUCUAAAACAGUUGAGAAACAGAAGUAAAUAUGAAGAGCUGAAAAGAAGUAGCAAAAUAACUUGUUUCUCUUGAAAAUGUGGUGUCUCAGUGCUUUUGAAAAGAAGGAUUAGAAUGCAGAAAUUAAGCGAGCAUGUAAACAAGUCAAUGAAAGAAACCUUUUGGUGGAGAAAGUCAUGCUUCAAAAGGCAAUUUUCAGAAGGAAAAAAAUUCUGAAGGAAAAGGCUUAAUGAUUAAAAUACCGAGAGAAAAAUGAAAAAGCCUGCAGAAUCUUAACAGCUUGAAGGGUUGAAGGAAAAUAGCUUCACUGUGGUUCAUUUAACAUAGCAGAUGAGAAGGCACAGUGUCGCUUGCCUACCCAGCACUUUCCCUUUCUUUCUGCUUAAAGAAAAUGGGAUGAAUCAGAUUUGAUCAAUAAUAGCAGUGCUUUCCCCUCUGCCCAGCUAGCCCAGGAGAAGCCACAUGUCACAGUUCUUGCCUCUGGAACAGGAAGGCUGUUGGAGUGGGGCAAUUUCCGAGACUCUGACAAGGAAAUGCCGGAAGACUAUGUGACAGUAAGACAGAGGCCAUGGGAGCACAUAAUGAUUGUGUACUGAGUGGAAAGAGGUAAGAGAGAAUCUAGUACUCUUGUGUGUGGGCACUGGGAGCAGAACAAUAAAAGAACAGGAAGUACAUCCUCUUGCUUAUAAAGAACUACAUGCAGAUCGUGGGGAUCAAGCACGCCAUCCUGGAGAAGACUGGUAGUAGGAAAUAUAAAAGGAGGCUAAGCUUGCACCCACACAUACAGGAAGUAAGAGUGUGAGAUCUUAAGCACACACUAUGAGACGGGUACUGAUUUAAAUGCUGGAGAUGGCAGCAGUGAAUGAAGUGGAUUGAGGUUCUUUCUCUGAUAAAGUGCCACUGUCUGGUGGGGGAAGAUUAUAAAGAGGUUGAGAGUUUCACAACUCUUGUCAUACUUCUGUGGUUAACCUGAAGACUUUGAGUUAGAACAUAAUUUUCCCAAAUAGCUCUUUCCCACUUGAAAUAAAGACAACUGCUAGUUUCUUGCUGGGGUUACAAUAUUCUAUCUUUUUACACAGUAGGAGAAAUAUCUUUUUGUCAGAGAUGAAUCAGUUCAUCUAGAUGCGGGUAGGAGAGAAAGAAUUUUACCACUCACAUCUUUUGCUGCCAGUGUAAACCUGAACAGACUCUGUCUUAAUGCCAAUAGCAUAUUAAUGCACUGUCUUCUCUACUCUCUAAGAACAGAGAUGGUGUUUUGUUCAACUGGGACUUAGCACUCAGCACAUUGCACAAGACAGUGUGGGAACCCCUAAUAAAACAUUUGCAAA